CUGGAACUAGAGAAGUGCUUAGUCAAUAAAGAACCCGGUGACAGGUGCUGCAUGGCUGUCGUCAGCUCGUGUCGUGAGAUGUUGGGUUAAGUCCCGCAACGAGCGCAACCCUCGCCUUUAGUUGCCAGCAUUCAGUUGGGCACUCUAGAGGGACUGCCGGUGUCAAACCGGAGGAAGGUGGGGAUGACGUCAAGUCCUCAUGGCCUUUAUGUCUAGGGCUACACACGUACUACAAUGGCCGGUACAGAGGGUUGCCAACCCGCGAGGGGGAGCUAAUCCCACAAAGCCGAUCGUAGUCCGGAUCGCAGUCUGCAACUCGACUGCGUGAAGUCGGAAUCGCUAGUAAUCGUGGAUCAGCAUGUCACGGUGAAUACGUUCCCGGGUCUU
rnacentral:rRNA from 1 species